rnacentral:rRNA from 1 species
GACGGAGGAUGCAAGCGUUAUCCGGAAUGAUUGGGCCUAAAGCAUCCGUAGCCGGUUCUACAAGUCUUCCGUUAAAUCCACCUGCUUAACAGAUGGGCUGCGGGGGAUACUACAGGGCUAGGAGGCGGGAGAGGCAAACGGUACUCAGUGGGUAGGGGUAAAAUCCGUUGAUCCAUUGAAGACCACCAGUGGCGAAGGCGGCUUGCCAGAACGCGCUCGACGGUGAGGGAUGAAAGCUGGGGGAGCAAACCGG